GUACCAGACUCCUACGGGAGGCAGCAGUCGGGAAUAUUGCGCAAUGGAGGAAACUCUGACGCAGUGACGCCGCGUAUAGGAAGAAGGUUUUCGGAUUGUAAACUAUUGUCAUUAGGGAAGAAAAAAGACAGUACCUAAGGAGGAAGCUCCGGCUAACUACGUGCCAGCAGCCGCGGUAAUACGUAGGGAGCGAGCGUUAUCCGGAAUUAUUGGGUGUAAAGGGUGCGUAGACGGGAAAAUAAGUUAGUUGCGAAAUCCCUCGGCUCAACUGAGGAACUGCAACUAAAACUGUAUUUCUUGAGUGCAGGAGAGGAAAGUGGAAUUCCUAGUGUAGCGGUGAAAUGCGUAGAUAUUAGGAGGAACACCAGUGGCGAAGGCGACUUUCUGGACUGUAACUGACGUUGAGGCACGAAAGUGUGGGGAGCAAACAGGAUUAGAUACCCCAGUA
rnacentral:rRNA from 1 species